GACGAACGCUGGCGGCGUGCCUAAUACAUGCAAGUCGAACGAGAGCGACCGGUGCUUGCACUGGUCAAUCUAGUGGCGAACGGGUGAGUAACACGUGGGUAACCUGCUCAUCAGAGGGGGAUAACAUCCGGAAACGGAUGCUAAAACCGCAUAGGUCUUCGAGCCGCAUGGCUUGAAGAGGAAAAGAGGCGCAAGCUUCUGCUGAUGGAUGGACCCGCGGUGCAUUAGCUAGUUGGUGAGGUAACGGCUCACCAAGGCCGUGAUGCAUAGCCGACCUGAGAGGAUGAUCGGCCACAUUGGAACUGAGACACGGCCCAAACUCCUACGGGAGGCAGCAGUAGGGAAUCUUCCGCAAUGGACGCAAGUCUGACGGAGCAACGCCGCGUGAGUGAAGAAGGUUUUCGGAUCGUAAAACUCUGUUGUUAGAGAAGAACAAGUGCUAGAGUAACUGUUAGCGCCUUGACGGUAUCUAACCAGAAAGCCACGGCUAACUACGUG
rnacentral:rRNA from 1 species